UGUUUCGAGUGUUGUUGAUAACAUCUAAUAAUAUCGUGAUUUUUCUCGUCAACAUUUUCCUUAAAGUAAUUAUACUAUUUGCUGUUCAUAUAAUAAAUUAAGAAAUAUUUUUGGAAAUAACAAUUAAUAAUUAAGAAAAUAAAAAUUAAAUACGUUUCGACUGUUAUACGACUUGACUACAAUCAUUGCUGUGUGAAAACAAUUGAUCAAGAAGAAAUUGUUAGAAAUUUUCAGUCUUUUGUUUGUGUCAGUAAAUAUAUACGCGAAUAAUUUGUUUUUUUUUAGUUCUUGGUGAUUGAUUUAAAGGUUGGUUUGAUGUCGAAUAAAAAUCAGAAGGUUAUUUAAGAGACGAAGUGAUCGCCACAUUCUUUGGUCGUGCGUUGAUGAAGAAAUGUAAACACCGAGGAACUUCUAAUAGCUACAAUUUUCUCGGAGGGAAAUCAUGAGUUCUGAAAUUGUUCCUGGAGGAGAUCAUAUACGGCCUGACAAUAAGUGCAGUUUAAUAUUCCAUGUCUAUAUGACUUACUGAAGGACAGGAAGGAGGAUAAUAAGGAGGAUGAAGAAAAGCGGUCCCUGCAUAUUGACGUACUAUUCAAAAUAAUGUCCUUUUUGAAGAGUAUGGCAGUAUAGCUCUCGGCCUCUGCAGAAGUGCAAGCAAGAAUGAGGGAUCUUCGAGAGUGGCCCCGAAAUGAUAAUAAUUCAGCCAUCGCUGCGAUGAGGAAAUCCGCGAUCGGUAUAAGAUGAAAGUAUAUUUUUCGAGUUGAUCAACUGUAUCUAUAAGUAAGAUUACUCUUUCAAUAAUAAUUAAUAUAUCACAUGGAACAUGAAAAUAUUAGGUGUGUUCACCCAGAG